rnacentral:piRNA from 1 species
UGAAAAAGGGUCAGGGAAAGAAGCC